AGUGGCGGACGGGUGAGUAACACGUAGGUAACCUGCCCCGGAGCGGGGGAUAACAUUUGGAAACAGAUGCUAAUACCGCAUAACAACAAAAGCCACAUGGCUUUUGUUUGAAAGAUGGCUUUGGCUAUCACUCUGGGAUGGACCUGCGGUGCAUUAGCUAGUUGGUAAGGUAACGGCUUACCAAGGCGAUGAUGCAUAGCCGAGUUGAGAGACUGAUCGGCCUCAAUGGAACUGAGACACGGUCCAUACUCCUACGGGAGGCAGCAGUAGGGAAUCUUCCACAAUGGGCGCAAGCCUGAUGGAGCAACACCGCGUGAGUGAAGAAGGGUUUCGGCUCGUAAAGCUCUGUUGUUGGAGAAGAACGUGCGUGAGAGUAACUGUUCACGCAGUGACGGUAUCCAACCAGAAAGUCACGGCUAACUACGUGCCAGCAGCCGCGGUAAUACGUAGGUGGCAAGCGUUAUCCGGAUUUAUUGGGCGUAAAGCGAGCGCAGGCGGUUGCUUAGGUCUGAUGUGAAAGCCUUCGGCUUAACCGAAGAAGUGCAUCGGAAACCGGGCGACUUGAGUGCAGAAGAGGACAGUGGAACUCCAUGUGUAGCGGUGGAAUGCGUAGAUAUAUGGAAGAACACCAGUGGCGAAGGCGGCUGUCUGGUCUGCAACUGACGCUGAGGCCCGAAAGCAUGGGUAGCGAACAGGAUUAGAUACCCUGGUAGUCCAUGCCGUAAACGAUGAGUGCUAGGUGU
rnacentral:rRNA from 1 species